rnacentral:rRNA from 1 species
UACGGAGGGAGCUAGCGUUAUUCGGAAUUACUGGGCGUAAAGCGCACGUAGGCGGCUUUGUAAGUUAGAGGUGAAAGCCUGGAGCUCAACUCCAGAACUGCCUUUAAGACUGCAUCGCUUGAAUCCAGGAGAGGUGAGUGGAAUUCCGAGUGUAGAGGUGAAAUUCGUAGAUAUUCGGAAGAACACCAGUGGCGAAGGCGGCUCACUGGACUGGUAUUGACGCUGAGGUGGCGAAAGC